GUAGGUGAACCUGCGGAUGGAUCAUUACCGAGAUUUUUUGUGAACUUGUUUUGCAAAUCUCCCACCCUUUGUGUUAUUGAAUUUUAUUACUUUGGUGAAGCGUACUUGCUUCGGUAAGUCCAUUGGCUUGGUUUAGUCUUUGUUAAUUACUUCUUUGGAAGUCAUUAGUGAAUCUCUGAUCACAGCGGAUGAGUCUUCACCAAAGGAACCACAACUCUUAAUUUUUAUCAAUUGUCUGAGUUUAUAUUUU
rnacentral:misc_RNA from 1 species